rnacentral:lncRNA from 1 species
AAAUAAUGUUUGUUUUAAGGCUGUUUUUCAAUCCAAUGAUUUAUAAGUGAGAAUCUUUUUGAAUAUUUUUCUCUGUUUUUACAUUAUCUUUGUUUCUAAUCUUUUCCCACAGGUGACCUGAAUGGAGCGUUGGCGUUCCCGUUCCUUUGGUCGUACACGUUCUACUGUGGCUGCUGCACCAGUGCUUUGCUGGGAUUCCUGCUGGUGUUGGUCACAGUCAGAAUAAAAAUUGGGAUGUCCCUCCAACACCUGGCUGUCUGGGUUUAUACGUCAAAGAUCAUAGCCAUGUUCUUCUCCACGUUUAUUUUUGAAACGAGUGUCAGCAGUGAGUCUGUGGCUUGCGUUGUUUUCAGUCAUCUUGGAGAAGCUUUACUUUUGUACACUGACAGAGACUCGUCCUGAUGGAGCAACACUACAAAAGCUUUAACAUUAGCACUUUAUUUGAUACCCAAAGAGAAAAUACACAC